AAAAAAAGAAAAAGGAAGAAGAAGAAUAGGCAAGAACAGAUGGAAGGAAGAAAAAUAGGUGGGAAGGUGGAGUAUAGAUCGCGGUAACGUAGGCCGCUCGCUCACCAAAGAUUGGAUGCAGCCGAAGUCAUGUGCCGGAAAACAUACCUUUACCCUUCUAUUUACUCGUUUCUUCAAGACACGAUAAAGCAAGCACGAGUUUGGGUGGCUCAGCUCAGUCUUCGUACUCAUCAUAUCGACUCUUUUCUUUGUCCAUGACAAACGCUCACGCGUGCUUUGCACCUCUUAAAUAGUUGCCAAUGACAUAAGAUUGGUUUGGCACAGCUUUCUAUCGGGAGGUGUCGAGGACAUAAAGAUCAUAAGAUUAUGUUUCACUUAACCUUCGGAUGCAAUUGCGAUUCUCGACAAAAGGUCGUAUUUUCAUGACUUACUAAUGAAAUGCAUCGCGCGGCCCCAAUCUCCCUUCAAAUGUCACAUGUCGAGCUAAACCAUGUCCGAAGUCCUUCUUAAAUUAUUUUCCUUCACGUUUGUCAUCGGCAUUAUGGAGGACUUAUGCUUAGGGAAGAAUCGAACGCCACCAGCCGCCUCGGAGUGAAUCCAUCAUUUCAUUUAUUGGACUUCGACGAAUUCUUUUUCCUUAGGGAUUUUUAUUUGUGAAUAACUUGAUGAUAUCGUGUUGGACGAUGACCUCCUGGAUGCCCCUUUAUCUGCAUUUCCCAGCAUUUCUACUUCCUCACCAAGAAUACAUCCUUCGACAACUCAUCUGCAAGCCAAGGAGGGAAGAUAUAUUGCUGCCAACAGCAUUCAUUCUUGAUUUCCGCUUUCUACAAGUUUCUUUCUUUUGAGUAGGUGACUACCUGAUCUCCCCUGUUACCACCUACUCUCUUGGUUCGAUUGCUUCCCCUGCCCUGCUGCCCUUCCGUAAGUUAUAUUUUUCAUAUUUCUGUUGAUAUCCAUAUAAACAUAUGUCUAUAACACAACUUAAACACCAACAUGUUAAUUCUCUGGUCGGGUUUCAGCCAAAAAAAAAAAAAACAAAAGAAGCUUUUUUCCGCUCCAAGGAAUGAUAGUUUUCUUAUCAGAAAAUGCUUUUCUGCAAUACAAUAGGAAUUCUUGGUCCAGAAAUUUGAUCCUCGAUUAAUGUGUAGUUUUUCUGGGGUAUAUGGUAAUUUGCCCAUUAGUUUGCUGAGAUAAUUAAGGAGCUUUGGAACGUCUGGCUCGUUUUAUUCAAUGUCUUUAACCUGUAUCAAGUUAUCUAUACCUUUUUCUUCACCCGGUUGAAUUUGAUAACUUGUAACUCUUAUUGGUGGAAGUUGCGGGAGUCUCUAGAUGUUCUUCACGUGCAAGCUAGAUGUAAUGUUUCACAAAGCUUCAUUUCAAGUCCGAUCUUUAAAUAAUUGUGUCACCAUCUAGUAUAGAAUUCAAUUUCUUUUUCCUUGGAGUGAAGCCUAAUUUUGUUUAAGCUACUAUCAACAUUGUGUGCAUUGUGCUAAAAUUUGUGUCGCAGAAUUUAUUACAUAUGGUCAAGAAAAUGUUGUAUUCUCCAUUCUGGUUGGCUUAUAAUCGAUAAAUUAUGCACCGAGUUAGAUAUAGAAUAUAUAUUCUGUCUGAAAUUCAAGUUUGACUAAUUCAUCACCUGGGAUAAUGGGUGAUAAACCAUGGGGCAAAUGCUUUGUUGUGUGCAAGUAGAA